UAGUAACGGCGAGUGAAGCGGGAAAAGCUCAAAUUUGAAAUCUGGCAGCCUCAGGUUGUCCGAGUUGUAAUCUAUAGAAACGUUUUCCGCGCCGGCCCAUGUACAAGUCCCUUGGAACAGGGCGUCAUAGAGGGUGAGAAUCCCGUCCUUGACACGGACCACCGGUGCUUUGUGAUACGUUUUCAACGAGUCGAGUUGUUUGGGAAUGCAGCUCAAAAUGGGUGGUAAAUUCCAUCUAAAGCUAAAUAUUGGCGAGAGACCGAUAGCGAACAAGUACCGUGAGGGAAAGAUGAAAAGCACUUUGGAAAGAGAGUUAAACAGUAUGUGAAAUUGUUGAAAGGGAAACGAUUGAAGUCAGUCGUGUCUAUUGGACUCAGCCGGUUCUGCCGGUGUACUUCCUUUAGAUGGGGUCAACAUCAGUUUUGAUCGCUGGAAAAGGGCGGGAGGAAUGUAGCACUCUCGGGUGAACUUAUAGCCUUCCGUCGUAUACAGUGGUUGGGACUGAGGAACGCAGCAUGCCUUUAUGGCCGGGGUUCGCCCACGUACAUGCUUAGGAUGUUGACAUAAUGGCUUUAAACGACCCGUCUUGAACCACGGACCAAAA
rnacentral:rRNA from 1 species